rnacentral:rRNA from 1 species
GACGAACGCUGGCGGCGUGCUUAACACAUGCAAGUCGAACGGAAAGGCCCUGCUUUUGUGGGGUGCUCGAGUGGCGAACGGGUGAGUAACACGUGAGUAACCUGCCCUUGACUUUGGGAUAACUUCAGGAAACUGGGGCUAAUACCGGAUAGGAGCUCCUGCUGCAUGGUGGGGGUUGGAAAGUUUCGGCGGUUGGGGAUGGACUCGCGGCUUAUCAGCUUGUUGGUGGGGUAGUGGCUUACCGAGGCUUUGACGGGUAGCCGGCCUGAGAGGGUGACCGGCCACAUUGGGACUGAGAUACGGCCCAGACUCCUACGGGAGGCAGCAGUGGGGAAUAUUGCACAAUGGGCGGAAGCCUGAUGCAGCAACGCCGCGUGCGGGAUGACGGCCUUCGGGUUGUAAACCGCUUUCGCCUGUGACGAAGCGUGAGUGACGGUAAUGGGUAAAGAAGCACCGGCUAACUACG